rnacentral:rRNA from 1 species
GACGGACGCUGGCGGCGUGCUUAACACAUGCAAGUCGAACGGAAAGGCCCUGCUUGCAGGGUACUCGAGUGGCGAACGGGUGAGUAACACGUGGGUGAUCUGCCCUGCACUUCGGGAUAAGCCUGGGAAACUGGGUCUAAUACCGGAUAGGAGCCAUUUUUAGUGUGAUGGUUGGAAAGUUUUUUCGGUGUAGGAUGAGCUCGCGGCCUAUCAGCUUGCUGGUGGGGUAAUGGCCUACCAAGGCGGCGACGGGUAGCCGGCCUGAGAGGGUGGACGGCCACAUUGGGACUGAGAUACGGCCCAGACUCCUACGGGAGGCAGCAGUGGGGAAUAUUGCACAAUGGGCGCAAGCCUGAUGCAGCGACGCCGCGUGGGGGAUGACGGCCUUCGGGUUGUAAACUCCUUUCGCUAGGGACGAAGCUUUUUGUGACGGUACCUAGAUAAGAAGCACCGGCUAACUACGUG